AUGACGUGGACUACUCAGCCUCCUGUAACUGAACAAACCGGUGAUGGACGGUACAGACACACAGUGAGUCUGGGCAGUGUGGCUGUGAUGUGCCAGUUCUGUAAGCCUCCUCAAGCUCUGGAGGCCACCAAGGGCUGCGCUGACUGCAGGGCCAAUUUCUGUAAUGAGUGUUUCAAGCUGUAUCACCCAUGGGGGACACCACGAGCACAACAUGAACAUAUCCAGCCUACACUCAACUUCAGACCAAAGGUUCUGACCUGUCCAGAGCAUGACCAGGAGAAUCUACAGUUCUACUCUCUGUCCUCUUUGUAAACUGUGCCGCAUCCACACCGGACACGAAAUCCUUCCAGUGGCCCAGGCAUACCAAGCCCUGAAGGGUGAUGCCGUAACCUCUGGUGCUCCUGCUGUUUCCUGCUACAGUCAGCUUGCAGUCGUCAUCUGUCAGAGCUGCAUAUUCCACCACCGCCAUGUCCCACAGAAACGUAUAUGACUCUCACUUUGCCUGGAAAUAGAGACAUUCUCCACAACAAGCAUGUGCAUGCACACACAGGCAGACAGACAGAGACACAUAUGAUAACUAACCGAAAGCUUGUUCAGGCCUACACUAGUUUAACUUAGAAGCAUCUUUUAAUAAGAUGGAAUCUUUUUAGGUUUGUUUCCCCUAUCAGAGACAAAGACUGCAGUCCCAUUUCUUUGAGAUUUACAGAAGCAAAACAUCUACAAAAUUGACCCCGUGCUGAUGGGACAGUGGCACAGAGUAGGACUUACGCUUUGAAAAAGUAGUGAAUAGAACAAAUGGAGCUCAGUCAGCAUGCAAAAUAUUUGCACAGAAACUUGUGUAAACAUUUUGCCCAUUCAUUGGUGUAAACACUGAAUGCCAUACAAAUAAAAUUUCUUCACAAAGAUGAUGAAAACAGAUGUGACCCUAUCUUUUCUAGCUUCGCAUGUAGCAUACAGUAUUUUCCGAGACACAAUCACGUGCCAUAGCCUCCACACUAUGGAGAAUAUGUAGAGCAACCACAGCUGAACAUCUUUUCCUCG